CACGUAGGGCGCGAGCGUUGUCCGGAAUUAUUGGGCGUAAAGAGCUCGUAGGCGGCCUGUUGCGUCCGCUGUGAAAAGCCCGGGGCUUAACCCCGGGUCGGCAGUGGAUACGGGCAGGCUAGAGGUAGGUAGGGGAGAAUGGAAUUCCCGGUGUAGCGGUGAAAUGCGCAGAUAUCGGGAGGAACACCGGUGGCGAAGGCGGUUCUCUGGGCCUUACCUGACGCUGAGGAGCGAAAGCGUGGGGAGCGAACAGG
rnacentral:rRNA from 1 species